UACAGAGGGGGCAGGCGUUGUUCGGAAUUACUGGGCGUAAAGCGUGCGCAGGCGGUUUUGUAAGCCAGAUGUGAAAUCCCCGGGCUUAACCUGGGAAUGGCAUUUGGGACUGCAAGGCUCGAGUGCGGCAGAGGAGACUGGAAUUCCUGGUGUAGCAGUGAAAUGCGUAGAUAUCAGGAGGAACACCGAUGGCGAAGGCAGGUCGCUGGGACGUUACUGACGCUGAGACGCGAAAGCGUGGGGAGCAAACAGG
rnacentral:rRNA from 1 species